UUCAAAUUUAAAGGAAAUGUUAUUUUCCCAAUUUUUAACCACCACAUGCAGAGCGAAGCUCUGUUAAUCAAUGAAAGUAACAAGUUGAUUCUUUGUCAAAAUAACAAAAAGUAAUUUUCCAUAUUUUAUUCUCUUGCAAAUCUCUCUUUAUUAUGUUGAAGUUGAAGUUGUACUUGUAUCUAAAAGUGGCUGAACUGCACCAUCACGUUGUCAGCCCUAUGUGCGAGUUUUAUGAUAAAAAGAUAACCAGAAUUGGUCAAAAUGAUGAUUUUUUCUUCAUACAUACGAUGACUGUACUUUUGCGUAUUUCAUCCGAAAGGACAUCUUCUUUUAUAUUGGGCAAAUUAUUCAAUUUCUGUACUUUAAGAAAGUUUACUGUCAUAAAAAUUUCUCUCAAUGUCUUUGUAUUGAAGAUGUAAUCCCAUUCAUAUUAUAAGGCACAUGUCAUUUUCCUUAGAGCAGGAAAUAUGACAUUAAUUAUUUUCUUUUAGGAAAUUUGGAACAGUCCAUAUCGAAACGCUGCUUUCCAGUUUAUGCUGAGGAGAUUGAUGCUGGUUUUGAUGUGUCUUCAUUGACGGCCAUGUUAUCAGAAGUUGCCUGUCUCCUAAAUAUCACAAUAGUUGGAGGCUCCAUACCGAAACGAAGUGGCGAUAAGUUGUACAAUAUCUAUUGUGUCUUUGGAACUGAUGGAAAGUUGAAAGCUAAACACCGCAAGAAAGUUCCAAUAUGUGCACGUUGUUGUGACUGAUGCACCUUUUCGAUAUUGACAUUCCUGGAGAGAUUAUGUUCAAGGAAUCUAAGACUCUUACUCCUGGCGAGACUCCAACCAUAGUGGACAUGGGUACUCAUGAUAGCUGUUCUGAGUUAAUCUCCAUACUCGUGAUAGCUGUAUUGGGUUAAUCUCCAUAAGUGCUAAUUUGUUUCUUUACAUUCCAAUGCCUGAAUAAGCUGCCAUCGUAGCUUGAGAUGGGCUCACUUGCUCUGCCAUCCUGGGGCAUUCAACAUGACUACUGGACCGUGUCUCUGAGAGUUACUGCAAAGGGCAAGUUAAUUAUGCAAUGUAAUUAGUGUUGGAUAUUAGUAGUAUUCUUAUAAUUCUACAAGCAGGCUUGAUGAGUCCUUUGUCUUCUCUUCUAGACUUCUACAAUAUUGGCUUGGCCAGUGGACCAGUUUAUUAUAUCCAAGCAAUGUGCUUGACACUUAAAACUCCAGAUUAUGAACCAGACAGAACACCCAGUCGUAACCUCACCAAUUAAAAUAAGAAUCUUCCUCCAGUUCCCUAAUUUAUUUGAAACUAAUUCCUUUAUAUGAAAAUAAAUCUUGUAAUUUUUUAUUUUUAUUAGUACUAUUAUUAUUAUCUUUUUUUUGUAUCAAAAGAUAAUUAUACAACUUUUUGUAUGUGUGUCUGUGACUCCCUAGACACCCUCUUGGCUUUCCGUUUAGCUAACUUGUACUUCUCAAAGCCUCCACAAUUAAGCACUUUCUGAUCGCCAAGGUUAUAGGUGUGCUAUACAUGUGCUUUGGUGUCAGAAUAUAAGAAUAUUCUUACAUCUUUAUAUCUGUAUGAGACCAUGCCACAAAUAUAUGUUUUUACGUUACUACUUGCAGGUUUGUAGAGUCAUUUUGCUUCAUUUUUUUC